rnacentral:lncRNA from 1 species
CCAAGUUCAGUGAACCUAACACACUGUUCAUUCAGCCAUUGAAACCCAGCAGAGGAGCAGGCAGGGAAGGGAGGGUGGAAGGACAGAGGCUCCCCUUUCUUCUGGGCUUGGUUCCGGAGGAGGCCAAAAGAGAGUUUACCAGGGAAGCAAUUUGAAGGCAAAAGUCCACUCUAAAGUGAAGAUUCCUCCAGAAGCCGUCCACGGAGACCACGAUCAGGAAGCCUGGGCCGGACUUUCUCCCCUACUGUGAUGACGAUCCCAGUAUUUACUGCCACCAGUAUUGAUCAAAGGUACCAGAUCUCCUGUCAAGAGACAUUGUACUGAAUGGAAGAACUUCUUGAUAUUCUCCUAAUAAAGGAUACAAAGUCUUCCCGGAUAACCUGGAUGGUGAAAACUGUUCCUUCAUGGAAUGUCACCAUGUGGCACAAUCAUACUUCACUUGAGCCAUAGAAAAUUCAAACACUCCCAAAACAACUAGUACACCAUGGAGAGAGAAAAUCUAAUGGCUUCAUGUUAUAGUUUGAAUUUGAAAUGCUCCCCACAGGUUCAUGUAUUUAAUUUGGUGAUACCAUUUGGGAAUACUGUGUGACAUGUAGGGGUCACACCUUGAUGGGAGAAGUGCAUCACGAGGGGCGGGCCUUGAGAAGCCUAGUCCACUUCCUGUUUACUCUACAUGUUUCACAACUAUGUAUGCCAUGUGACCAGCUGUCCUCUGGCUCCAGCUGCCACUCCCUCCAUGUUGUGAUGGAAAACAGUCCCUUGAACUAUAAAAGAGAAUAAACAGCCAAGUCCCAACUCACCAAAAUCUGUUAUCAGUAAUGACUUGCCCUAUAAAAAUUUAUAAUGUCCAUGAAAAAAAUGGUUAAAACCUUUAGGGGUAUCCAUCUUUUGACAUUACAACAUGACAAUGUCAUCUACAAAUGUUCUGGGUAGGAUUUGUAGCUAUAGGAGAGUAGAAGAUACCUGAGAAUCACAAGUGGCAGCUUGGACACACCUGCCAAAUAACAGGGUCCCUAACUUGAGACGGUUUAACUUACAUUCUUCAAUUUUAUUGUUCUACAAGAUCGAUAAGCAUCCGGUAAGUACUAUACUUCAAAUCUUUCAUCUGGAUCUUUUCCAAGGCUGGUCUUGUUAAGCAGCUAGCCACAUUCUUUCGUUGACUAUUUGUAAGUUUUGAUGCUCAGUAGGUCCUAUUAUUAAAUGCUUUUUGACACAAAGAUAAUUUCAAUUUAUGGAUGUUUAUGAGGAUGUAACUCAGUUCUAACUCAAAGAGCAGUUGGAGCUUCUUUGACAAUAUUGUUAAUUAAACAGGGAGUGUGCACUGUGCCUGCCUGCCUACCUUCCUCUUUCCCUCUCUCCUUCCUUUCUUUCCUCCUUUUAUCAUCUAUAUCGUAAAGAGAAAAAUAUACUCUCAAUAGAAAGAUACAUCUCUCAUAGUUGUAUUAGAUGCUAGCUUGAGUUGAAGCAACAGAUUUGCGAGUUGAAGUUGACA